UAGGGAAUCUUCGGCAAUGGACGAAAGUCUGACCGAGCAACGCCGCGUGAGUGAAGAAGGUUUUCGGAUCGUAAAACUCUGUUGUUAGAGAAGAACAAGGACGUUAGUAACUGAACGUCCCCUGACGGUAUCUAACCAGAAAGCCACGGCUAACUACGUGCCAGCAGCCGCGGUAAUACGUAGGUGGCAAGCGUUGUCCGGAUUUAUUGGGCGUAAAGCGAGCGCAGGCGGUUUCUUAAGUCUGAUGUGAAAGCCCCCGGCUCAACCGGGGAGGGUCAUUGGAAACUGGGAGACGUGAGUGCAGAAGAGGAGAGUGGAAUUCCAUGUGUGGCGGUGAAAUGCGUAGAUAUAUGGAGGAACACCAGUGGCGAAGGCGGCUCUCUGGUCUGUAACUGACGCUGAGGCUCGAAAGCGUGGGGAGCAAACAGG
rnacentral:rRNA from 1 species